GCUGCUAUGGCUCAGUUGGUAGAGCACAUCCUUGGUUAGGAUGAGGUCCCCAGUUCGAAUCUUGGUAGGAGCUCCA
rnacentral:tRNA from 1 species